GGGUUGUGAGGUUAAGCGACUAAGCGUACACGGUGGAUGCCCUGGCAGUCAGAGGCGAUGAAGGACGUGCUAAUCUGCGAUAAGCGUCGGUAAGGUGAUAUGAACCGUUAUAACCGGCGAUUUCCGAAUGGGGAAACCCAGUGUGUUUCGACACACUAUCAUUAACUGAAUCCAUAGGUUAAUGAGGCGAACCGGGGGAACUGAAACAUCUAAGUACCCCGAGGAAAAGAAAUCAACCGAGAUUCCCCCAGUAGCGGCGAGCGAACGGGGAGCAGCCCAGAGCCUGAAUCAGUGUGUGUGUUAGUGGAAGCGUCUGGAAAGGCGCGCGAUACAGGGUGACAGCCCCGUACACAAAAAUGCACAUACUGUGAGCUCGAUGAGUAGGGCGGGACACGUGGUAUCCUGUCUGAAUAUGGGGACCAUCCUCCAAGGCUAAAUACUCCUGACUGACCGAUAGUGAACCAGUACCGUGAGGGAAAGGCGAAAAGAACCCCGGCGAGGGAGUGAAAAGAACCUGAAACCGUGUACGUACAAGCAGUGGGAGCCUCUUAAUGGGGUGACUGCGUACCUUUGUAUAAUGGGUCAGCGACUUAUAUUCUGUAGCAAGGUUAACCGAAUAGGGGAGCCGAAGGGAAACCGAGUCUUAACUGGGCGUUAAGUUGCAGGGUAUAGACCCGAAACCCGGUGAUCUAGCCAUGGGCAGGUUGAAGGUUGGGUAACACUAACUGGAGGACCGAACCGACUAAUGUUGAAAAAUUAGCGGAUGACUUGUGGCUGGGGGUGAAAGGCCAAUCAAACCGGGAGAUAGCUGGUUCUCCCCGAAAGCUAUUUAGGUAGCGCCUCGUGAAUUCAUCUCCGGGGGUAGAGCACUGUUUCGGCAAGGGGGUCAUCCCGACUUACCAACCCGAUGCAAACUGCGAAUACCGGAGAAUGUUAUCACGGGAGACACACGGCGGGUGCUAACGUCCGUCGUGAAGAGGGAAACAACCCAGACCGCCAGCUAAGGUCCCAAAGUCAUGGUUAAGUGGGAAACGAUGUGGGAAGGCCCAGACAGCCAGGAUGUUGGCUUAGAAGCAGCCAUCAUUUAAAGAAAGCGUAAUAGCUCACUGGUCGAGUCGGCCUGCGCGGAAGAUGUAACGGGGCUAAACCAUGCACCGAAGCUGCGGCAGCGACACUAUGUGUUGUUGGGUAGGGGAGCGUUCUGUAAGCCUGUGAAGGUGUACUGUGAGGUAUGCUGGAGGUAUCAGAAGUGCGAAUGCUGACAUAAGUAACGAUAAAGCGGGUGAAAAGCCCGCUCGCCGGAAGACCAAGGGUUCCUGUCCAACGUUAAUCGGGGCAGGGUGAGUCGACCCUAAGGCGAGGCCGAAAGGCGUAGUCGAUGGGAAACAGGUUAAUAUUCCUGUACUUGGUGUUACUGCGAAGGGGGGACGGAGAAGGCUAUGUUGGCCGGGCGACGGUUGUCCCGGUUUAAGCGUGUAGGCUGGUUUUCCAGGCAAAUCCGGAAAAUCAAGGCUGAGGCGUGAUGACGAGGCACUACGGUGCUGAAGCAACAAAUGCCCUGCUUCGAGGAAAAGCCUCUAAGCAUCAGGUAACAUCAAAUCGUACCCCAAACCGACACAGGUGGUCAGGUAGAGAAUACCAAGGCGCUUGAGAGAACUCGGGUGAAGGAACUAGGCAAAAUGGUGCCGUAACUUCGGGAGAAGGCACACUGAUAUGUAGGUGAAGUCCCUUGCGGAUGGAGCUGAAAUCAGUCGAAGAUACCAGCUGGCUGCAACUGUUUAUUAAAACACAGCACUGUGCAAACACGAAAGUGGACGUAUACGGUGUGACGCCUGCCCGGUGCCGGAAGGUUAAUUGAUGGGGUUAGCGGUAACGCGAAGCUCUUGAUCGAAGCCCCGGUAAACGGCGGCCGUAACUAUAACGGUCCUAAGGUAGCGAAAUUCCUUGUCGGGUAAGUUCCGACCUGCACGAAUGGCGUAAUGAUGGCGGGCUGUCUCCACCCGAGACUCAGUGAAAUUGAACUCGCUGUGAAGAUGCAGUGUACCCGCGGCAAGACGGAAAGACCCCGUGAACCUUUACUAUAGCUUGACACUGAACAUUGAGCCUUGAUGUGUAGGAUAGGUGGGAGGCUUUGAAGUGUGGACGCCAGUCUGCAUGGAGCCGGCCUUGAAAUACCACCCUUUAAUGUUUGAUGUUCUAACGUUGGCCCCUGAUCGGGGUUGCGGACAGUGUCUGGUGGGUAGUUUGACUGGGGCGGUCUCCUCCUAAAGAGUAACGGAGGAGCACGAAGGUUGGCUAAUCUGGUCGGACAUCAGGAGGUUAGUGCAAUGGCAUAAGCCAGCUUGACUGCGAGCGUGACGGCGCGAGCAGGUGCGAAAGCAGGUCAUAGUGAUCCGGUGGUUCUGAAUGGAAGGGCCAUCGCUCAACGGAUAAAAGGUACUCCGGGGAUAACAGGCUGAUACCGCCCAAGAGUUCAUAUCGACGGCGGUGUUUGGCACCUCGAUGUCGGCUCAUCACAUCCUGGGGCUGAAGUAGGUCCCAAGGGUAUGGCUGUUCGCCAUUUAAAGUGGUACGCGAGCUGGGUUUAGAACGUCGUGAGACAGUUCGGUCCCUAUCUGCCGUGGGCGCUGGAGAACUGAGGGGCUGCUCCUAGUACGAGAGGACCGGAGUGGACGCAUCACUGGUGUUCGGGUUGUCAUGCCAAUGGCACUGCCCGGUAGCUAAAUGCGGAAGAGAUAAGUGCUGAAAGCAUCUAAGCACGAAACUUGCCCCGAGAUGAGUUCUCCCUGACUCCUUGAGAGUCCUGAAGGAACGUUGAAGACGACGACGUUGAUAGGCCGGGUGUGUAAGCGCAGCGAUGCGUUGAGCUAACCGGUACUAAUGAACCGUGAGGCUUAACCUUACAACGCCGAAGGUGUUU
rnacentral:rRNA from 1 species